rnacentral:lncRNA from 1 species
CAGAGUCUCCCCUGUAUUUGCACGGCGUCACACAAGUACAAGAAGUAACCCAGGUACAACCACAACCAAAUGAACAUACAAAUAACCAACAAUUAUAUAUUCAUACACCAUUCACAUCACAGGUUCACAUUUAUAUAUUCGAUAUUUAAACAUAAAUCCACAUCUAUCAGUUAAAAUGUUUCCAACCACAGAAACAGGUUUUGAAAUACUAAGAUGCAAAAUCCACAGAAAACCUUUUGAAAACUGUUUCCUACACGGAAACCUUUAUUCUUUAAAAACGCUACCACGAGGGGUAGAAAACCUUUUAUUUUACAAAAUCCAGAAAUCCGUUUAUUACAUUCACGAAAAUCCAUAUUUUCAAAUGUAAUAAAAAUACUGAACCAUAUAACUAUCUAAGCUAUAACAACUGAAAUAAUAAG